rnacentral:lncRNA from 1 species
GGCUGAAGGUCAUAGAUGUUUCCAGAACAGGUUUUGCAUUUGGGAAACAAAGAACAAAGCUGUGAUAUCUCUACGAUACAGCCGACAGGGUUUGGAGUCAAAUGUGGAUCUCUUAAUUCACACUAACUCACGCUGGAAACAGUCGUCAGGGGAGAAGGACGAACUGAUCCAACCCUAAGAAGCUCUUCUCCGACUGAUUCACCUGGAAAAGGGAAUCCCACAAAUGACCUUCUGAGCUUAGUGUUACCAGGAAAUAGGAAGCCACCUCUCCCAACAACACUGGCUGCAGAAACUCCAGAAACCCAAAGUGUCCAGAGUAAAGUACCUUUCAAAGGAUUUGAUGUGGUGAUUAACCGCAGACUCUAGGGAUAGAACCAAAUGCAAC